AUUGAACGCUGGCGGCAUGCUUUACACAUGCAAGUCGAACGGCAGCACGGACUUCGGUCUGGUGGCGAGUGGCGAACGGGUGAGUAAUACAUCGGAACGUGCCCAGUUGUGGGGGAUAACUACUCGAAAGAGUAGCUAAUACCGCAUGAGAACUGAGGUUGAAAGCAGGGGAUCGUAAGACCUUGCGCAACUGGAGCGGCCGAUGGCAGAUUAGGUAGUUGGUGGGAUAAAAGCUUACCAAGCCGACGAUCUGUAGCUGGUCUGAGCGGACGGCCAUCGACACUGGGACUGAGACACGGCCCAGACUCAUACGGGAGGAAGCAGUGGGGAAUUUUGGACAAUGGGCGAAAGCCUGAUCCAGCAAGGCCGCGUGCAGGAUGAAGGCCUUCGGGUUGUAAACUGCUUUUGUACGGAACGAAAAGCUUCGGGUUAAUACCCUGGAGUCAUGACGGUACCGUAAGAAUAAGCACCGGCUAACUACGUGCCAGCCGCCGCAGUAA
rnacentral:rRNA from 1 species